rnacentral:tRNA from 2 species
GGGCCUGUGGUCUAGUGGCUAUGACGUCUCCUUGACGUGGAGAGGAUCUCAGGUUCGAAUCCUGACAGGCCCA